rnacentral:rRNA from 1 species
UUACGGGGUGCAGGCGCGAAAACUCUACAAUGCAGGCAACUGCGAUAGGGGAACAUCGAGUGAUCCUCAUAUUGGGGGUCUGUCCACCCGCCUAAAAAGCGGGUGUUAGCAAGGGCCGGGCAAGACCGGUGCCAGCCGCCGCGGUAAUACCGGCGGCUCGAGUGGUGGCCGAUAUUAUUGAGUCUAAAGGGUCCGUAGCCGGCUUUGCAAGUCUCUCGGGAAAUCCAGCGGCUUAACCGUUGGUCGUCCGGGGGGUACUACAUUGCUUGGGACUGGGAGAGGUAGGAGGUACUCCGGGGGUAGGAGUGAAAUCCUGUAAUCCUUUGGGGACCACCGGUGGCGAAGGCGUCCUACCAGAACAGGUCCGACGGUGAGGGACGAAAGCUAGGGGCACGAACCGGAUUAGAUACCCGGGUAGUCCUAGCCGUAAACGAUGCUCGCUAGACUCACACCGGUGCUGAACGUGUUGUGGGCGCAGGAAGCCGUGAAGCGAGCCACCUGGGAAGUAC